rnacentral:tRNA from 1 species
GGGGGUAUAGCUCAGUGGUAGAGCAAUCGACUGCAGAUCGAUAGGUCCAUGGUUCAAAUCCGUGUGCCCCCU